GAUGAACGCUAGCGGCAGGCCUAAUACAUGCAAGUCGAACGGUGUAGCAAUACACAGUGGCGCACGGGUGCGUAACACGUAUGCAACCUACCUUACAUUGGGGGAUAGCCUUUCGAAAGGGAGAUUAAUACCGAAUAGGACAGUAACUAGGCAUCUAGUAGCUGUUAACGAGUUAUCGAUGUAAGCUGGGCAUGCGUCCAAUUAGUUAGUUGGGGAGGUAAAUGCUCACCAAGACGAUGAUUGGUAGGGGAACUGAGAGGUCAAUCCCCCACACUGGCACUGAGAUACGGGCCAGACUCCUACGGGAGGCAGCAGUAGGGAAUAUUGGGCAAUGGGCGCAAGCCUGACCCAGCCAUGCCGCGUGCAGGAAGAAGGCGUUAUGCGUUGUAAACUGCUUUUAUACAGGAAGAAACGACCCUUGCGAGGGGCAUUGACGGUACUGUAUGAAUAAGCACCGGCUAACUCCGUGCCAGCCGCCGCAGUAACAC
rnacentral:rRNA from 1 species